AGAGAGAGAGAGAGAGAGAGAGAGAGAGUAUUUUAGUUAAGAGGAUAUUUUAGUAAAAAAACAUAGAGAAAGUGUCUACUCCUUUGGAAGUGCCUAAACACGGAAAUAAUUUUUAAAAAGUGUCUAAGAGUGUAAUAUUCUUUAUUUUUAAUAUGAUUUGUCUACAAAAAAAA
rnacentral:sRNA from 1 species